rnacentral:rRNA from 1 species
GACAUAGGUGGCAAACGUUAUCCGGAAUUACUGGGCGUAAAGCGUGCGUAGGUGGUUUGUUAAGUCUGAUGUGAAAGCCCUGGGCUCAACCUGGGAACUGCAUUGGAUACUGGCUUACUAGAGUGCGGUAGAGGGGUGUGGAAUUCCCGGUGUAGCAGUGAAAUGCGUAGAUAUCGGGAGGAACAUCUGUGGCGAAGGCGACACCCUGGACCAGCACUGACACUGAGGCACGAAAGCGUGGGGAGCAAACAGG